AGGUAUGCUUAGGGAGGAGCUUGCGUCACAUUAGUUAGUUGGUGGGGUAAAGGCCUACCAAGACUAUGAUGUGUAGCCGGGCUGAGAGGUUGAACGGCCACAUUGGGACUGAGACACGGCCCAAACUCCUACGGGAGGCAGCAGUAGGGAAUUUUCGGCAAUGGAGGAAACUCUGACCGAGCAACGCCGCGUGAACGAUGAAGUAUUUCGGUACGUAAAGUUCUUUUAUUAGGGAAGAAUAAAUGAUGGAAAAAUCAUUCUGACGGUACCUAAUGAAUAAGCCCCGGCUAACUAUGUGCCAGCAGCCGCGGUAAUACAUAGGGGGCAAGCGUUAUCCGGAAUUAUUGGGCGUAAAGGGUGCGUAGGCGGUUAAAUAAGUUUAUGGUCUAAGUGCAAUGCUCAACAUUGUGAUGCUAUAAAAACUGUUUAGCUAGAGUAAGAUAGAGGCAAGUGGAAUUCCAUGUGUAGUGGUAAAAUGCGUAAAUAUAUGGAGGAACACCAGUAGCGAAGGCGGCUUGCUGGGUCUUUACUGACGCUGAGGCACGAAAGCGUGGGGAGCAAACAGGAUUAGAUACCCUGGUAGUCCACGCCGUAAACGAUGAGUACUAAACGUUGGGUAAAACCAGUGUUGAAGUUAACACAUUAAGUACUCCGCCUGAGUAGUACGUACGCAAGUAUGAAACUUAAAGGAAUUGACGGGACUCCGCACAAGCGGUGGAUCAUGUUGUUUAAUUCGAANGUACCCGAAAAACCUCACCAGGUCUUGACAUGCUUCUGCAAAACUGUAGAAACACAGUGGAGGUUAUCAGUUGCACAGGUGGUGCAUGGUUGUCGUCAGCUCGUGUCGUGAGAUGUUGGGUUAAGUCCCGCAACGAGCGCAACNCUUAUUGUUANNUACCAGCACGUAAUGGUGGGGGACUUUAGC
rnacentral:rRNA from 1 species